GACGAACGCUGGCGGCGUGCCUAAUACAUGCAAGUUGAGCGCUGAAGGUUGGUCCUUGUACCAACUGGAUGAGCAGCGAACGGGUGAGUAACGCGUGGGGAAUCUGCCUUUGAGCGGGGGACAACAUUUGGAAACGAAUGCUAAUACCGCAUAAAAACUUUAAACACAAGUUUUAAGUUUGAAAGAUGCAAUUGCAUCACUCAAAGAUGAUCCCGCGUUGUAUUAGCUAGUUGGUGAGGUAAAGGCUCACCAAGGCGAUGAUACAUAGCCGACCUGAGAGGGUGAUCGGCCACAUUGGGACUGAGACACGGCCCAAACUCCUACGGGAGGCAGCAGUAGGGAAUCUUCGGCAAUGGACGAAAGUCUGACCGAGCAACGCCGCGUGAGUGAAGAAGGUUUUCGGAUCGUAAAACUCUGUUGGUAGAGAAGAACGUUGGUGAGAGUGGAAAGCUCAUCAAGGGACGGUAACUACCCAGAAAGGGACGGCUAACUACGU
rnacentral:rRNA from 1 species